CCACUGGACUCCAGCCUGGGCAACAGAGUGAGGUGCCACUCUCUAAAACAAAAAUAAAAAUCCUUCCUAGGUCCCACUUUCCCCUCAGCUCCUGCUCCAUCUCUCUGCUUGCCUUUAGAGCUAAACUAGCAGUUAGCCAGGUCCUACUUUCUCCACAUACUGGCUUGUGGGCCUUCAGGGUUAGCGCUGUGAGCUGGGUGUCAUGGGCCUUAACGCUGACUCAUAAUGUGAGCCAGUGCUUCCCAUAUUACAGCUAGGGGUGCCAGGGGCCUGAUGAAUUGGGGUCAUUUGGUUAUGUGUCAGUCCUUUUCACCUCUGGCUAUGAACUCCUUGCCUGGGGCCUUGCUCUGCUCAUCUCUGCAUGCCCAUUAUCUAGGACAUUGCCAGAGACGUAGUAGGAGCAAAAUCAGUAUCUGCUGAGUACAUGACCAAACACGUAGAUGAAUUUCAGGCCCAGUUCAAAGUGUCUGACCACUUCGGUCACACAGGCCUUGCCUUCCUCUGAACUUCUGGAGCACUUCUUGCCCUGGCUAGGUAGGUGACACUUAGCCACAGUUCCGUGUCACAUUUUCCCUAUUCCUAUGUGGCUGUUUAUCUCCAAUGGUGUACUAACUCGCAGGCGCCAGGCUUAGCCUUCCUGGAUAAAGCUCGCUAGUGCCUUGUAGGCAGCCUGUGCCUUCCACGGCAUCGACAGCAGUCAAUAAAUAUAUGUGGAAUGGCGGAAUGCAUCCGUCCACUGAUAUAAAUUGUGAAAUAUUCUAAUUGGUACACUCUUCCAGGUACUGUGGGCCAUUCCAACAAAAGACAUGGCUAUUUCUUGUAGGAGUUUGCACAAUAAAAGAAUGAGAGGUUGGAUAAAGAAUGACAGAGGCCUAUUGUUGCCACAUAGGAGCCCACCUUUUUUUUUUUUUAAUUUUACUUGAAGUUCUGGGAUACACGUGCAGAACGUGCAGGUUUGUUACAUAGGUAUACGUGUGCCAUGGUGGUUUGCUGCACCUGUCAACACAUCUUCUAGGUUUUAAGCCUCACGUGCAUUAGCUAUUUGUCCUGAUGCUCUCCCUCUCCUUCCCCUGACCUGACAGGUCCCGGUGUGUGAUGUUCCCCUCCCUGUGUCCAUGUGUUCUUAUUGUUCAGCUCCCACUUAUGAGUGAGAACAUGCGAUAUUUGGUUUUCUGUUCCUGUGGUAGUUUGCUGAGGAUGGUGAGGAUUCCACCUUUUGACCUAUCCCAGGGCUCAGGAAAAACAGAUAUUUGGGGCUCUGGGGAGAGCCAGCAGCCUGCAGUGAAAAAUCAUUGAACAAUGCUUGGGAGAUGGGCUCAUCAGGCUUCCUGGUAUAUCUUGGAAAUAUAAUAAAUCUGACCCCAGAAUACAUCACUUGGAUGGGCCUGCUUUUAGCGCAUUCCCCUAAAAUGUCUUUUCCUCCUGUGAUUGCAAUGUUUGGUUGUGGUUAUAACAGCAGAUUUCCCACCAAAGAAACAUUUCAGUCCUUGCCGGAUGAGGUUGGUUGUCUCUAAUUUCCUCUCUUAAAAUGCUACCCUCUCCACCUGUGACUGCC
rnacentral:lncRNA from 1 species